AUUGAACGCUGGCGGCAUGCUUUACACAUGCAAGUCGAACGGUAACAGGGUGCUUGCACCGCUGACGAGUGGCGAACGGGUGAGUAAUGCGUCGGAACGUGCCGAGUAGUGGGGGAUGACGCAGCGAAAGGUGUGCUAAUACCGCAUACGUACUGAGGUAGAAAGUGGGGGACCUUCGGGCCUCACGCUAUUCGAGCGGCCGACGUCUGAUUAGCGAGUGGGUGAGGUAAAGGCUCACCUAGGCGACGAUCAGUAGCGGGUCUGAGAGGAUGAUCCGCCACACUGGGACUGAGACACGGCCCAGACUCCUACAGGAGGCAGCAGUGGGGAAUUUUGGACAAUGGGCGAAAGCCUGAUCCAGCCAUGCCGCGUGUCUGAAGAAGGCCUCCGGGUUGUAAAGGACUUUUGUCGGGGAGGAAAUCCCCAGCGCUAAUACCGCUGGGGGAUGACAGUACCUGAAGAAUAAGCACCGGCUAACUACGUGCCAGCCGCCGCCGUAACAC
rnacentral:rRNA from 1 species